rnacentral:tRNA from 1 species
GCCGCUCUAGCUCAACGGCAGAGCAGCUGUUUUGUAAACAGCAGGCUGUGGGUUCAAAUCCCACGGGCGGCUCCA